ensembl:lncRNA
CAGGAUGCACACACACACACAGCUCCGGGAAUAAGCCUCCUGGAGCUAAAAAGAUGGGAUACAGAAGGCCAGAUGUCACAAGUACUUUCCUGACCACUGUGACAGCAGGAAUUGAGGCUCUCAGACCCUAGGACUGGUCUCCUGCGACAUUUCCUCCUUCACUCUGGACGGCAACAGAGAUCUCAGCCCUCUGGUCGCUCAUGUGCAUACAGCCGAUUUCCAGGCCCAGGAUCAAAGGCAGGAGAGAGCACACAGAGACUGACCAACAAACUGAUAUUCAGGAUGAAAUGACUCAACUAAACCACAACAGCAAUUCCGAUGGCCUGGUGGGGAAUUAGGACAGAAGCAGCCCAGAUUCUCACACCUUCUGCAUUUGCACCCAGAAUCUCAGAAAAUCAGGCUAUGAUCUUAAUGGCCACCCACCCACUACCAACUGCAAGUUGAGGAGCUUUGGGAGUAGUUGGUCCAGAAGGGCCACUGCGCCUAGAAUCUCCUGGGAGGCCGAGCACCCGAAAAGAGGCUGCCAUGCCUGAAGGAGGACGAAGCUGCACUCAAAAGAGAUUGAGAUGUUCAUACAAUUAAUCAGCUACAUCUUUAUGUUGUGUAUCAUGAUGUCUAAUUUCCAGAGGAAAGAUCACUUUCAAACCACAUAAAUAAUGAUGCUUUUGGGAAAAAAGACAGCAAAAAGGAAAACCCAUCUCUCUUCAAUGUAAAGAUUUCACUAUGAACUCACGUAUUGUUUUUAUUUUACACCCACAGUCUUGAUGCUUAUUAUCUCUGAAAUCAUUUCUGUUUCCAAAAAUUAUUUGAAACACUCCUACAUCUGGGGCUUUUGAUAAACAGUCCAACCUCUACAGACAGAAACAGUUGUACAUUUGUGUGUGUGUGUGUGUGCAAACGUGCGACAUGUUUGAGAGACAGAAGGAUGAGUUUAGGGGAGAGGGAGAAAGUGAUGGCACCCUUCUGAGCUACACAGCCUGGACACCUGUGAAGACCUGAGUAGGUUUCACUGUAACACACAACGAAGUCUAUGAGCAUGAGUCUUCCCUCCAUGGAUCUCUCUUUUGAGACUGCAAGAAACUUUGGGGUAAUUUUACUCUGAUGCUAAGAAUAAAAAUCAUGAUGAAUGUUUUGAGCACUUACAAUGUUCCAGGAAAUUUUCUAAGAGCUUUAAUACACGUGAAAUCACAUAUUACUCACAAGUCAAUGAGGUUGAUACUAUUCUUAUCACAUUCUACAGAAGAAAAAAAAAAAGAAUCACAGAGAAGUAGGCUCCCAAUCACUGGCUUAUUAACAAUGAAUUAAAAUCUUGCCUGACAACCAUCAAGACUGGAGGGGCCACUUCCUACGGGAGGAGCUUUCAGUGAGAUGGAAUCUCUCUCCUCUCAACUGCCUCCAGCUUUCUCAUGGCAUUGAAGCCACUGCCUUAAGCUACAGUAAUCUGUGUGCCUGUUAAAUCUUCUCUGGGAAGACUCUAGGGUCCUUAUGAUCAGGGUAGUAUAAAAAUAAUCCUUGUUUUCCCACAGCCAUGGCAAAAGUGCCUGGCACUGCAUAGGCACUUUAGGAGAUACUAGCUGAAAAAGUGAAUGAAGAAACCCAAGUUUCAGACCUGAGUUUGCACAAUCAUGUUAGAAAAAUUGAUACAGACAGCUCUCCAGGACCAAAG